rnacentral:rRNA from 1 species
AAAACGGAGAGUUUGAUCCUGGCUCAGGAUGAACGCUGGCGGUAUGCUUAACACAUGCAAGUCGAACGGUGUCUUCGGACAUAGUGGCGGACGGGUGAGUAACGCGUGAGAAUCUGGCUUCAGGUCUGGGACAACCACUGGAAACGGUGGCUAAUACCGGAUGUGCCGAAAGGUGAAAGGCUUGCUGCCUGAAGAUGAGCUCGCGUCUGAUUAGCUAGUUGGAAGUGUAAUGGACUCCCAAGGCGACGAUCAGUAGCUGGUCUGAGAGGACGAUCAGCCACACUGGGACUGAGACACGGCCCAGACUCCUACGGGAGGCAGCAGUGGGGAAUUUUCCGCAAUGGGCGAAAGCCUGACGGAGCAAUACCGCGUGAGGGAGGAAGGCUCUUGGGUCGUAAACCUCUUUUCUCAGGGAAGAACACAAUGACGGUACCUGAGGAAUAAGCAUCGGCUAACUCCGUGCCAGCAGCCGCGGUAAUACGGAGGAUGCAAGCGUUAUCCGGAAUGAUUGGGCGUAAAGCGUCCGCAGGUGGCAAUGUAAGUCUGCUGUUAAAGAGUCUAGCUCAACUAGAUAAGAGCAGUGGAAACUACAUAGCUAGAGUACGUUCGGGGCAGAGGGAAUUCCUGGUGUAGCGGUGAAAUGCGUAGAGAUCAGGAAGAACACCAGUGGCGAAGGCGCUCUGCUAGGCCGUAACUGACACUGAGGGACGAAAGCUAGGGGAGCGAAUGGGAUUAGAUACCCCAGUAGUCCUAGCCGUAAACGAUGGAUACUAGGCGUGGCUUGUAUCGACCCGAGCCGUGCCGUAGCUAACGCGUUAAGUAUCCCGCCUGGGGAGUACGCUUAAGCAACGGUGAAACUCAAAGGAAUUGACGGGGGCCCGCACAAGCGGUGGAGUAUGUGGUUUAAUUCGAUGCAACGCGAAGAACCUUACCAAGGCUUGACAUGUCGCGAAUCUUCUUGAAAGAGAAGAGUGCCUUCGGGAGCGCGAACACAGGUGGUGCAUGGCUGUCGUCAGGCUCGUGUCGUGAGAUGUUGGGUUAAGUCCCGCAACGAGCGCAACCCUCGUUUUUAGUUGCCAGCAUUAAGUUGGGCACUCUAGAGAGACUGCUAGGUGACAAACCGGAGGAAGGUGGGGAUGACGUCAAGUCAGCAUGCCCCUUACGCCUUGGGCUACACACGUACUACAAUGCUCCGGACAGAGGGCAGCAAGCAUGCGAAUGCAAGCAAAUCCCGUAAACCGGAGCUCAGUUCAGAUCGCAGGCUGCAACUCGCCUGCGUGAAGGAGGAAUCGCUAGUAAUUGCAGGUCAGCAUACUGCAGUGAAUUCGUUCCCGGGCCUUGUACACACCGCCCGUCACACCAUGGAAGCUGGUAGUGCCCGAAGUCAUUACUCCAACCAUUCGUGGAGGAGGAUGCCUAAGGCAGGACUGGUGACUGGGGUGAAGUCGUAACAAGGUAGCCGUACCGGAAGGUGUGGCUGGAUCACCUCCUUU